rnacentral:rRNA from 1 species
UACGGGGGGGCAAGCGUUGUUCGGAAUUACUGGGCGUAAAGGGCUCGUAGGCGGCCAACUAAGUCGGGAUGUGAAAUCCCCAGGCUCAACUUGGGAACUGCAUCCGAUACUGGAUGGCUUGAAUUCGGGAGAGGGAUGCAGGAAUUCCAGGGUGUAGCGGUGAAAUGCGUAGAUAUCGGGAGGAACACCUGUGGCGAAGGCGGCCCCCUGGUUGGAUACUGACGCUGA